CCGCUGAAACUUAAGCAUAUCAAUAAGCGGAGGAAAAGAAACCAACAGGGAUUACCUCAGUAACGGCGAGUGAAGCGGUAACAGCUCAAAUUUGAAAUCUGGCUCUUUCAGGGUCCGAGUUGUAAUUUGUAGAAGAUGCUUCGGGUGUGGCUCCGGUCUAAGUUCCUUGGAACAGGACGUCAUAGAGGGUGAGAAUCCCGUAUGUGACUGGCUGCCUCCGCCCAUGUGAAGCUCUUUCGACGAGUCGAGUUGUUUGGGAAUGCAGCUCAAAAUGGGUGGUAAAUUUCAUCUAAAGCUAAAUAUUGGCCAGAGACCGAUAGCGCACAAGUAGAGUGAUCGAAAGAUGAAAAGCACUUUGGAAAGAGAGUUAAACAGUACGUGAAAUUGUUGAAAGGGAAGCGCUUGCAAUCAGACUUGCACGCUGCCGAUCAUCCGGGGUUCUCUCCGGUGCACUCGGUUGCGUUCAGGCCAGCAUCGGUUUGGGUGGUUGGAUAAAGGCCUUGGGAAUGUAGCUUCUUUCGGGGAGUGUUAUAGCCCUCGGUGCAAUGCAGCCUACCUGGACCGAGGACCGCGCUUCGGCUAGGAUGCUGGCGUAAUGGUUGUAAGCGACCCGUCUUGAAACACGGACCAAGGAGUCUAACAUCUAUGCGAGUAUUUGGGUGUUAAACCCAUAUGCGUAAUGAAAGUGAACGGAGGUGAGAACCCUUAAGGGUGCAUCAUCGACCGGUCCUGAUGUCUUCGGAUGGAUCUGAGUAAGAGCAUAGCUGUUGGGACCCGAAAGAUGGUGAACUAUGCCUGAAUAGGGUGAAGCCAGAGGAAACUCUGGUGGAGGCUCGCAGCGGUUCUGACGUGCAAAUCGAUCGUCAAAUUUGGGUAUAGGGGCGAAAGACUAAUCGAACCAUCUAGUAGCUGGUUCCUGCCGAAGUUUCCCCUC
rnacentral:rRNA from 1 species